rnacentral:rRNA from 1 species
UCGUGAGACAGGUUAGUUUUACCCUACUGAUGAAUGUUAUCGCAAUAGUAAUUGAACUUAGUACGAGAGGAACAGUUCAUUCAGAUAAUUGGUUUUUGCGGCUGUCUGAUCAGGCAUUGCCGCGAAGCUACCAUCUGUUGGAUUAUGGCUGAACGCCUCUAAGUCAGAAUCCAUGCUAGAAAGCGAUGAUUUCUUUUCUCUCACACAUCAUAGAUGGAUAAUAAUAAGGCACCUUUUUGGUGUCGCUGAACCAUAGCAGGUGAGCACUGGUGUACUUAGCGGAAAGGCUUUGUGCACUUGCCCACGGAUUGCAAUGUCAUUUUGCGUGAGGAUAAAUCAUUUGUAGACGACUUAAAUGUACAACGGGGUAUUGUAAGCAG